CGGCCCUGCCUCCUCCGGCCCCUGCCUCCUCGGGCCCUACCUUCUCCGGGCCCUGCCUUCUCCGGCCCCUGCCUCCUCCGGGCCUUGCCUCCUCCGGCCCCUGCCUCCUCCGGGCCCUGCCUCCUCCCCGGCCUGCCGCAGCGCGCCGCAGUGCGCCCGGGCGCCGGGGAGGAAGGAAGCGAGCAGCGGCAUCACGUGCCCUUGGCGGUCGCCGGACAGGUCUGAUCGAUUGCUGUGCGCGGCGGCGCCGCCUCGCGCACCCUCGGUCCUAGAGCGUGUGUGAGCGCCGAGAAGGGAAGGGCCAGUGCGCGCUGCGUGCGGGUCCUGGUGUCUGUGGGUGGAGAAGUGGCGAGGGGAGGGCCGGACCUACAUUGCCAGGAGCUGGUUCCCCCGCUGCUUCUGAGAGCUCACCUGCCUGGCGCCUAGCACAGGUGUGCGGCACCUGAGCUGAGGGCGGGGAAGGGGCAGCGGCGGGGUCCUCCUGAGCCUCGGUAAGGAGCAGAGGGCUUCCUGUGACCCCCUCUGUGUCUUGCAGGCCCAGGGGCUGCGUAUUGCCACGGGGCUGGGAAGGGGCUGCUCCCCGCCAAGUGCACCUGGAGCGAUACUGCAAGUGCAGGCCUGGGCACAGGAUGGGCACCCGGGAUGCGUUAGGCGGCUGCCCAUCAGGGGUCACCAGCACCUGGGCAGCACUGUUAAAGUCAGACUCUGACUGAGAGACCGGAUUCUGUGUGAGCAGCACCAGGGCCACGGGCAGUUUGCGUUCUGCACCCCCAGGAGUCUGCGGGUAUUGGUCUCUCUCCCACAGGAACUGUGCGUCCCACGCGCCUGUGGCUGGCAGCCUGGGCCCCAGUUCUGUCCGUGAAAUGAAGUGAGAACAUUGCUUUUUCCUGUCCAGGGAAACAAAGUGGCGAGAAAGCAGAGCGAUGGAGGCCGUGGGCAGGUGUGAGGGCCAGGCCUGUGGGCGUGGGGAGCUCGUGACCUCUGAGCGCCCAUGGCUGGCGUUAGUACUGCCCUGGGUGAGCUGCUGCCACAGGCUUACGUGGUUGUGGUGGACAAAACCUGAGCGUUUCAGAAAGAACAUUAAAAUCUGUAGUCUUGUCUCUUUUCCACUUUAGACAGGCAAGGGCAACUGUAGCAAAGGGAAGUAUUACAUUUUUAACAGGGCACUCAAAAUAAAAAGGGUUCAGGGGACGGAGCUUUGCUCCGUGAGAUUUCAGAAGCAUGACCUCAGGGCGCACAAUGUCAGACCAUUCCAGUGGGGGCAGCUGAAGAAGAGAAAGGCCGCUUCCGUCAAACUGGAGUCUCCUUUCCCUGAGAACAGGGGCGUGUGAGUGAGUGAGUGAAGGGAUGGGGCCUUGGAGCUGGCCUCGCAUUCCUCAAGAACGGAUUUUCCAAGGAGACCAUAGGAAGAGGGAAGGAGUCCGUCACAGCCCUUCCCACGCUGCCAUCUUGUGUCUAAUAGCCCGCGAGGAAUAAGAGAAAAGGCCUCCGUGUCCACCCCACAGUCCCGGGCAGCAGCAGCCGUGUGCUGACAGCCCGGCAUGUCGUACCAACAGAUGUUCAAAACCAGAGUGGGAGGCAGAGCAUGUGCUGUUGCUGGGAGCGCUCGUGGCCGGUGCUUUCCGUGUCCUCACCGUGUCCUUACCGUGUCCUCUCGCUUCUAGCUCCGGGGCUGAGGAGACCCUGCAGAGCACGAGAGGGGCACGGACCCCCUCCCCCCACCGGCUGUCACAUCCAUCAGCAAGUUGAGCAAGAGUGCUGUGAGCCCCGGGGCAGAGGUGACGUGAACUAGCCGGGCGCCGUCUGUGGCGGGGUGGCUGUUUCCUGCGUGCAACUGUCACUGUGGCUCUGUCUUGCAGACUGUCCGUCGGGCUGCAGGAGAUGGUCAGUCCCGUGAUGGCCAGCAGAGAAGGAAUAGGGUGAAUGGAGGGCGCCGGGAGAGCAAAAGCAUGAAUGGUGGCCCCUGCUGGAGCACAGGGCAGCGUCCCAGGAGGUCUUCGGGCAGAGGGCAGAGGCAGGCCCAGGAGCCCCGCGUUGAUCCCUGGACCACGGGCAGCCCUGCCAGUGUCUCCCAACCGACCGAGGAUAAAGGAAGCAUUUCCCCAGGAGGAGGAAGACCCAGGAGGAAGCUGGCGGGUUCUGGGCAUCAGGGGGCCUUGGGGAGCAGCCCGGGUGCUGGACCUAGGGGUGCCUGGGGGAGCAGCCCGGGUACUGGGCAUUGGCAGGCCUCAGGGAGCAGCCCGGGUGCCGGGUGUCGGGAGGCGUCAGGGCACAGCCUGGGUUCUGGGCCUUGGGAGCCUUUGGGGAGCGGUCCGGGUGCUGGGCGUCAGGAGGCUUCCGGGAGCAGCGGCCUGGGUGCUGAGGGUCAGGAGGCCUCGGGGAGCGGCAUGGGUGCUGGGCGUCAGGAGCCCUUGUGGAGCGGCAUGGGCGCUGGGCGUCAGGAGGCCUCGGGGAGCAGCGGCCUGGGUGCUGGGCGUCAGGACACCUCGGGGAGCGGCCUGGGUGCGGGGCGUCAGGACGCCUGCGGGAGCACCUCAUUUCUGGUUCCUGAGUCUGUGAAGAUGCAGAAGGAAGAUGCGGAGGAGGACAGUGCGAGUGAUCUGUCUGAUUCCGAGAGAGUCCCCUUCCCUCCCUCCCCCCUCACACCGCCGCUCCUCGAGCUCCGCGCUGAGGAGAUUGACCCGCAUUCCUUUGAUCUCCACCUAGCGCAGGACCAGACGCAGCCCGAACACGCGUACUCCAGCUUCCUUCCGCGCCCUUACAGCUCCUGGGACCUGCGGCACAUGGCCUGGCUCCUGCACGCAGAGCACCGAGCCGAGGCGGUGCCGCGUGUCGGAGGACUGCUCGGCAAGUACCUGGACAGACUUCUUCAGCUCGAGUGGCUGCAGAUCCAGACGGUGCAGUGUGAGAAAAGCAAGGGGGCCAAAGCGAGGCUCCCCCCCGGCCUGGGCAUACCCGGGGCCCCGAAAAGCCCAGGGCGAAGCAAGUUCUUGGCCAGUGCACUGUCCAAGCCACCGCUUCACCAGGAAGUGGCUUCAAAGUCGGGCCCAUCCCGAAAGCAAGUUUUCCGCCGGGAAGAAGUCCGCCCAUCGUGUUAUGUGUUCGAGGCUUGCCUCAGACCUGCUGAUGCGCUCCGUGGUUCGAGCUCAUGUUCUCAGAAGCAAAAGCCCCAAGUCAGGUCAGAAGAGAAGAGUAAGGAGCCGAGCGAGAGCGCCAGGCUGCAGUGCCGGGCCGCGUCCCGCAGCGGGCGCAGCCCCAAGGUGGAAGCCAGCGGUAACAUUCGAAUUCCCAGACACUCAGCCGCGACUCUGGACUCAGCAGACCCCUGUAAGACCCCCAAGUCACAGACACCUGCAAACCUCAAGAAAAAUGGAAGUGCAAACAAUUGUGGGAAUGCCACCAUGUCCGGCGAGAAAAAGCUCAGAACAAAUAGAGCAAAGCAAAGCACACACAGGUUAAAAACUCUUUGAAAUGGUGUGGAGCCUCGGGCAUCUCGGUGGGGCUGUUCCCAAAGUCAGCUGCUCUGUGACUCGGCAGAUCUGGGGGACGCACAGGUAGUUGGUCAGCUGUGUUGUCCACUCCGCCCUGCCGCCAGCUCUAUCUCUGGCAGGUGUAUUUUCAGAGAGAGCUGUCUUUCUGAAAGCCUGUCUCUGUACUGACACUUUUAAGCACAUCAGAGCCCUUUAAUUUAAAAAGUGGCACAGACCAGCAGCUCCUCAGAGGAAGAGCCCAGGAACCACCCGCAGGCAGCCUCCGUGGACCGGAGAGCCUCGGCUAGCUCCACGCUUGCACCUGCACGCGGCCUGCAGAGCAGCGAACGCAGCGGGCUCGAAGUGGGCCCUUCUCACGGCUGUCUUCUGCUUCCGGACCGAGCUCUCAGGAGGCGUUUGGCUUCGUAGGCUCGGGUUCUCAGCUUUGGAGCUGAUUCUCAGCAGGCCUCUGUGACUGAGCCUCUUGCUCUUCAGAGAUCCGGAGUCUGCCGCUGGACACUUUCUCCCUGGUUCUGAAAUGGUGGUGUAUACACGCACGUGGUGGAGAAGUCCAUUUCAGUUCCCAAGGCCAAGGUUAAAACACUUGGCUGACUUUCUUGAUGUAAAACUCUGGGGGCUUAGGCUUGGGGUUCGAGGCCUCCUUCCCAGAGGCACCCCAAGAAAGUCACCUUGCAGAAUCUGCAAAUCAAUGAAGGAUUCGUAAUAAAAGCACGUGAAACUGUACUGAGCGUGUGAAUAGGAAGCCACUUGGUCCUUGAGUCAGAAACGAAGCUGUGUUCGGUGUAAGCACAGGAUCUUAGCGCCUGGCUCGGGCCGUGCGGGAGUGGAGGACACGCUUCAGAAGUCAGCACGCUCCCGCAGCUGAGUGCCUCCCUCAGGUUCCUUGUCAGCUCGAUUUUUAUGUACUGAUCAUGCAGUUUGAUUGCCAGUGUGUUAUGCUAGGUACACACACACAUUUAUACCAAGGCUACAGGGUUUGGGCUGGGUUGCCUUUCCCGGUGGCGUGUCCAUGUGGGAACUUUGAGGCACCCUCGAGGGGCCGGGCCAAGGGGCUGUGCUUCCUUGUCUCUGCAUGUCCGGCUUGAAGACCACCUUGAUGAAGCGUGGAGACAGAGCCUCAUCUGCUGGGUCACGGCUCUUCAUGGAGAAGUCUUCCCAUGUUCAGUGUUAAAGGCCUGACAAAAUUUACAUUUGUCUUGGGCCAAACAUGGUUUACACUUUUGUCUUGGGUUUGGUUGCUUAUUUGAAUCAGUAUGGAGAGUGGGUGAAUUUUCCGUUUUUUUAAAGUUAGGCUUAACGUGGGCACAGUACCACCUCGGCUAGGCGCAUCUAGCACGCCGCCACGCGCUCCGUCUGCAGCUAACGUCUCAUUGUCUUCCAGUGGAUCAUCGGCUCCUUCAGGGGUUCAGGGGAAACCCCCGCAUGUCCAGGAGCCGCAUGACGCAAGUCGCCGUGAUCCCAAGGGGUGCCCCAUCUCAGGAGUUUUUAUUUGUAUCAAAGAACUGCUCAGAAUGAAAUUCUGCCCCAGCACCUGUGUGAGGAUCGUGUGGUGAGCAAGUGAGAGAGCUGUACCUCUGAGGACGCCUGCGGAGCGCGGCUCUGCAUUGCUGCAGCGCUGUCCCCCGUACGGCCCCCAGCAGGUGUUAAGACAAAGUCAGGCGAGUGGCGUGCAGACUCAGGAAGCAUAAGCCUAGCGGGUGAGAGAGAGAACUCAUGUCUGCGCUUGCGUCUUGGGCCCGAGUCUCACCUUUCGGGAAGCUGCCUGGUCUACAGAUGGCACUCGUAUUCCAAGCAUGGUGCAGGACCCUCUGCGCCACGUGCUGUACUCCACAUAUCAUCUCCCGGUGGUGGAAGCAGUGAUGGCGAUGGUGAUGAAGGGGAGCAUUUAAAAGCCGUUUUUGGUGUGGCCUGAAAAUGAACCACUGGUUUUUACAGAAAAUGCAUUUUUGGGCUGUUAUAAUUUUGUUGUCCACAAGAUGGCAACCAAGCCUUUCCAGACAGCAGUGACUUGGGCCGUCAGCGUGAGCUUGUCGGAAGGGUUUUUGCUGAGAUCUGAUGGAAUGGGAGAGGACAGGGCUGACGCCAGACACGAAGCGUGCUCUUUCUUUAGCUUCACUCGCCAUCAAAUAAUUAAACGGGUUAUUACACA